rnacentral:lncRNA from 1 species
GAGGCUCCACGGUCGAUGGCAUCAACCGUCAAGCUGUUUGAUUGGUUUUUCUUUAUUUAUUGUGCUUUGCCUAUAAAUACAAGCCAACCCCAACAUUUUUUUACCUACCUCUUUUGCUCUAAACUUUUUAAAUAAUAUCCUAAGAUAUAUCUCUUUGGUUCCCUUAAUAUUUUUACAUCAAAUCAAAGAGAUUCAAGAUAAAGAGAAAAGGCAAAAAAGAAGAGUUUGUGCCACAAGAAAUUAUCCGUUCUUGUAUAUUCCAGGGUUAUUUAUUUGUAUUUGUGAGGAAUUUGUAAGGGGUGUCAUUAAACUUGUUUACUGAUUGGAAAUAGUGGUGAUCACUACCACUUGAGUUAGUGAGACGUAGAAGGUGAUCUCCUUGAAAAGAGUGAGACGUUUGUACAAGGUGAUCACUGCCUUUGUUUAGUGAUACGAUUGUGUAACGGGUAUCCCUAACAGAUUAGGGAAGGAUAAUAGUGUAGAAACUCUCGAUCGGGGAGAGGACAUAGAGAGAUUAGUUAACAUCUCUUGAACCUCUAUAAGUCGAUUUUGUCAUCUCUUCACUUAACCCUUUAAAUACUUGCACAUAUUAUUAUCUUUGUUCACAGGAGUAUUAUUUGAUUCAAACAAGUGUGUAAUUAGGUUAAUUCAAGUGUUUAACAAAGAAAUUUAAGAAAACCUAUUCACCCCUAGUUUUCUACAACAUUAUAUAAACUCAUAUACUUAUGUCUACAAAGAUAAAUGAACUCGUAAGCUCAGUGUAAGCAAAAGAUGCAACACUAGUUGGUAUUAGAAACAAAAUGAUUACGAUGGUAGUAUUGGUUGGUAGAUGGAUGGAAUAGAGUAGGAAGGGUCUAAGGUUGGACUGAAUGGGGCCAGGAAGAAGCGGGACAAGACGAAAUAGGCUGAUGUAGCAAGGGGCGUGAGAUGGAGAAGAAGGUUGAGCGGCAUGACUAUUCUAGCUUGACGAUGCAAGAGUAGCGAGAUACGUGAAUCGGGACGUGAGAGAGUGAUGCGCGUGUGGUGUCGUAUGUUUUUAUAUAUAUUUUUAGCCCUUUUUUACACGUUAGUCAAGUUUUAAAUUUAUAAAACACGAUAUUUUACUAACACCAAACACACAUAUGGGCAAGUGCACCCAUCGUGAGUUGGUAAGAUACCGAGGUCGUCCAAGGACACAAGAGCUUUUAAUACCGGUUUAUCCUCAACGUUUAAUCAAAUCAAAAGUUUAGAAAAAUGUUUUAAACUAGA